rnacentral:lncRNA from 1 species
UUUGUUGAAAUUAAAAAAGAAAAGAAAUGUGAGAGGAGUGACUUGAACCUUUGGCCUCUAGGGAGUGCACUAACUAUUUAACCAUCAAGCUUAAAGCCUAUUUCUUAAUUAUUUAUUUCAUUUAACCCUUUAUAUUUUGAGGCGUGAUAGAGUAGGUAGUUGAGGAAGAAAAAAUGAAAAUGAAGAUGAUAGUUGAGGCUUG